rnacentral:rRNA from 1 species
UACGGGGGGAGCAAGCGUUGUUCGGAUUUACUGGGCGUAAAGGGCGCGUAGGCGGCGUGACAAGUCACUUGUGAAAUCUCCGGGCUUAACUCGGAGCGGCCAAGUGAUACUGUCGUGCUAGAGUGCGGAAGGGGCUACUGGAAUUCUCGGUGUAGCGGUGAAAUGCGUAGAUAUCGAGAGGAACACCUGCGGCGAAGGCGGGUAGCUGGGCCGACACUGACGCUGAGGCGCGAAAGCUAGGGGAGCAAACGGG